AACGAACGCUGGCGGCAGGCUUAACACAUGCAAGUCGAGCGCCCCGCAAGGGGAGCGGCAGACGGGUGAGUAACGCGUGGGAAACUACCCUUUGGUACGGAAUAACACAGAGAAAUUUGUGCUAAUACCGUAUGUGCCCUUCGGGGGAAAGAUUUAUCGCCAUAGGAUGUGCCCGCGUCGGAUUAGCUAGUUGGUAGGGUAAUGGCCUACCAAGGCGACGAUCCGUAGCUGGUCUGAGAGGAUGAUCAGCCACACUGGGACUGAGACACGGCCCAGACUCCUACGGGAGGCAGCAGUGGGGAAUAUUGGACAAUGGGGGGCAACCCUGAUCCAGCCAUGCCGCGUGAGUGAUGAAGGCCUUAGGGUUGUAAAGCUCUUUCACCCACGACGAUAAUGACGGUAGUGGGAGAAGAAGCCCCGGCUAACUUCGUGCCAGCAGCCGCGGUAAU
rnacentral:rRNA from 1 species